UACGUAGGGACCAAGCGUUGUCCGGAAUCAUUGGGCGUAAAGAGCGUGUAGGCGGCUUGUUAAGUCUUGCGUGAAAUCUCGGGGCUCAACCCCGAGCGGUCGUGAGAAACUGGCAGGCUAGAGUGCGGGAGAGGAGAGUGGAAUUCCUGGUGUAGCGGUGGAAUGCGCAGAUAUCAGGAAGAACACCCGUGGCGAAGGCGGCUCUCUGGAACGCAACUGACGCUGAGACGCGAAAGCCAGGGGAGCAAACGGG
rnacentral:rRNA from 1 species